rnacentral:tRNA from 1 species
GCCUUCGUAGUGUAGUGGUCAGCACGCUCGACGCGUAACCGAGAUGUCCCUGGUUCUAUUCCCGGCGAGGGCA